AUUGAACGCUGGCGGCAGGCCUAACACAUGCAAGUCGAGCGAGCGGCGGACGGGUGAGUAAUGUAUGGGGACUGCCCGAUAGAGGGGGAUACCUACUGGACACGGUGGCUAAUACCGCAUACUAUCGGAUAACCCAUAUGGGAUUAGCUAGUAGGUGGGGUAAAGGCUCACCUAGGCGACGAUCUCUAGCUGGUCUGCGAGGAUGAUAAGCCACACUGGGACUAAGAAACGGCCCAGACUCCUACGGAGGCAGCAGUGGGGAAGAGUGCACAAGGGGCGAAAGCCUGAUGCAGCCAUACCGCGUGUAUGAAGAAGGCCUUAGGGUUGUAAAGUACUUUCAGCGGGGAGGCGUUAACCGCAGAAGAAGCACCGGCUAACUCCGUGCCAGCAGCCGCGGUAAUUC
rnacentral:rRNA from 1 species